AAAGCGUUAUCCGGAAUCAUUGGGUUUAAAGGGUCCSYAGGCGGUCUUGUAAGUCAGUGGUGAAAGCCCAUCGCUCAACGGUGGAACGGCCAUUGAUACUGCAGGACUUGAAUUACUAGGAAGUAACUAGAAUAUGUAGUGUAGCGGUGAAAUGCUUAGAGAUUACAUGGAAUACCAAUUGCGAAGGCAGGUUACUACUAGUGGAUUGACGCUGAUGGACGAAAGCGUGGGUAGCGAACAGGAUUAGAUACCCUGGUAGUCCACGCCGUAAACGAUGGAUACUAGCUGUUGGGGGCAACUUCAGUGGCUAAGCGAAAGUGAUAAGUAUCCCACCUGGGGAGUACGUUCGCAAGAAUG
rnacentral:rRNA from 1 species